rnacentral:lncRNA from 1 species
UCAUCUGAGAAGAAUGCUGGUAGUGAUGGGAAGGAUACAAACCUCACCAGAGGAGGAGAGAUAAGAGAGUUUCAUCAGAUGUAAAACAGCAUUCCCAGAGGAUAUCAGCAAUGACCAACGGACUAAUUUCUGUCAUCCUGCCCAUUUCUGGGGUUGCUUUUCAUCAUGGUCACUGCUUCCUUUUCCAGCCUCACAAACAGUUUUCUCAAUCAUCUUGGGCACUGAGUUGGUGCCUCAGCACUUGGAUCUGUGUUCUAUGAUCUUCUUUUCAGAGUGUUCUCUCAUUUGUCCCUGUCCAUGUGAUGUUUUUCUGACACUAUUUUUUCUUCUUGUGCCACUUUAUCACUGUUUUUCUCCAUGACGUGCUGUUAAAAGAGGUGAGAUAUCUGGAAAAAAAUUAGAUUUAGCAUGAAAAAAAGAAGCAGCUGACCAAAAAACUACCUAGAAAGUAAGUAGUUUUUCUAAUUUCUUAUAUAUAUGUGUGUGUGUGUGUGUGUGUGUGUGUGUGUUGGUAUCUUAAAAUCUACAUUCAUGAUUUUAUCUACAACAUAGGGCUUAUUUUGUAAAUGAGCUGCAACACUCUAUCAAAUUGUAAUUAUUCAUGAAUAGUCUCUCUUUAUUGUUAAUGAUAUGCAUCACACUAACAGAGUUUGAUAUGCUGAUUAUAAGAAUAAAGUUCAUCUAAGGUAACA